AGAGUUUGAUCAUGGCUCAGAUUGAACGCUGGCGGCAGGCCUAACACAUGCAAGUCGAACGGUAACAGGAAAAAGCUUGCUGCUUCGCUGACGAGUGGCGGACGGGUGAGUAAUGUCUGGGAAACUGCCUGAUGGAGGGGGAUAACUACUGGAAACGGUAGCUAAUACCGCAUAACGUCGCAAGACCAAAGAGGGGGACCUUCGGGCCUCUUGCCAUCGGAUGUGCCCAGAUGGGAUUAGCUUGUUGGUGGGGUAACGGCUCACCAAGGCGACGAUCCCUAGCUGGUCUGAGAGGAUGACCAGCCACACUGGAACUGAGACACGGUCCAGACUCCUACGGGAGGCAGCAGUGGGGAAUAUUGCACAAUGGGCGCAAGCCUGAUGCAGCCAUGCCGCGUGUAUGAAGAAGGCCUUCGGGUUGUAAAGUACUUUCAGCGGGGAGGAAGGGAGUAAAGUUAAUACCUUUGCUCAUUGACGUUACCCGCAGAAGAAGCACCGGCUAACUCCGUGCCAGCAGCCGCGGUAAUACGGAGGGUGCAAGCGUUAAUCGGAAUUACUGGGCGUAAAGCGCACGCAGGCGGUUUGUUAAGUCAGAUGUGAAAUCCCCGGGCUCAACCUGGGAACUGCAUCUGAUACUGGCAAGCUUGAGUCUCGUAGAGGGGGGUAGAAUUCCAGGUGUAGCGGUGAAAUGCGUAGAGAUCUGGAGGAAUACCGGUGGCGAAGGCGGCCCCCUGGACGAAGACUGACGCUCAGGUGCGAAAGCGUGGGGAGCAAACAGGAUUAGAUACCCUGGUAGUCCACGCCGUAAACGAUGUCGACUUGGAGGUUGUGCCCUUGAGGCGUGGCUUCCGGAGCUAACGCGUUAAGUCGACCGCCUGGGGAGUACGGCCGCAAGGUUAAAACUCAAAUGAAUUGACGGGGGCCCGCACAAGCGGUGGAGCAUGUGGUUUAAUUCGAUGCAACGCGAAGAACCUUACCUGGUCUUGACAUCCACGGAAGUUUUCAGAGAUGGGUAUGUGCCUUCGGGAACUGUGAGACAGGUGCUGCAUGGCUGUCGUCAGCUCGUGUUGUGAAAUGUUGGGUUAAGUCCCGCAACGAGCGCAACCCUUAUCCUUUGUUGCCAGCGGUCCGGCCGGGAACUCAAAGGAGACUGCCAGUGAUAAACUGGAGGAAGGUGGGGAUGACGUCAAGUCAUCAUGGCCCUUACGACCAGGGCUACACACGUGCUACAAUGGCGCAUACAAAGAGAAGCGACCUCGCGAGAGCAAGCGGACCUCAUAAAGUGCGUCGUAGUCCGGAUUGGAGUCUGCAACUCGACUCCAUGAAGUCGGAAUCGCUAGUAAUCGUGGAUCAGAAUGCCACGGUGAAUACGUUCCCGGGCCUUGUACACACCGCCCGUCACACCAUGGGAGUGGGUUGCAAAAGAAGUAGGUAGCUUAACCUUCGGGAGGGCGCUUACCACUUUGUGAUUCAUGACUGGGGUGAAGUCGUAACAAGGUAACCGUAGGGGAACCUGCGGUUGGAUCACCU
rnacentral:rRNA from 1 species